UGGGAUUUCAAUUAUUUUUUUCCCAAGUCCUCCAUUAUGCUGAUGUCCCUGUGUUACAGCUCUACUAUAGCACUGUGCUCUCCCUCAGACCUCCCUGGCUGAUGUGUUACAGAAGAUGUGGUAUGACCAGCUUGCCACGCCUGUGGCAAAGAACAGGAUAUCUUUACUCGAAGCAACAAACCCUUUCAAGUUAAUGGAGCAAUGGGAAAUGAAAGUUUAGUAUUGAGAUGACUGGAAACAAAGAUUCUCUAUCAUUGCAUUAAUGCGAUUCUCUACCGUGAAGUUUCCCAAUUAAAAGCUUUGCAUUCUGUGCCCUGUUCUUUUCCAGGAUGUAUCUUUAAAAAGUCAAAUGCAGCUACUGGAAUCUUUGAGAGUGGGAGAGUAACGGCUGGUGAGAAAUACAAUUAACUUGGCUGACUAGUGCAAUUAUCAGUAAAACUGCAGCAGAAUUUGCAUCUAUUGCUGAAAUCUGAUUCUCAGUGAUGAAUAAGCGGUGGUUAGCGUUGGCUUUAUGUAGGAAAUGUUGAAAUGCCAGCUUUUGAGGGGAGGAUAAAGCAGGAUGAAAGUGGAUACUGACACUUCCUAAUUUCCUGGGGGAGUAGUGUUCUGAAUUUAACUUGAUGUAUAAAAACAUCUCCCUUGACAAGUUUUACAUAAACCUAUCACUUGGUUUUUCACAGGUAUUAUUAAAUGCCCCGUCUGAAACUGAUCUGACUAUGAGGUUUAAAUUCCUUCCUGUACAUUGUCUCACCCUUGCAUCACUCUUCAGGUACCAGAGCACCGUAUGAAAUCUGAUUCUGUUGGAUUCAAUCACUGGCUGGGCAUGUAUGUGCUGGAUGGACAGGUGGGGUAACUGCAGAGGUUGGGAGCAUGCAUCAGCGAUCACUGCGGGGAGCCAAGAAGAGGCAGAGCAGUGCAGGGCUGAGUGAGGAUGGCUGGGAUUUUGGAUAGUGUCUAGUAUGCUUCCUGACCUGAAUUAGAACUCAAAUUGAGCCACAGUGAGGAAACUUAAGGUAUUUCCUUCAUCAAAGAAAUAAGAUGAUUUUGAAGGUGAUGCUGAGGUCAGCUAAUGAAUCCAGUUUACAAGGCAGCCCUGCAAACAAGCAAUGUUGGCACAACCAUGAUGGCAGCAUGAUAAGUGUGGAGGUGGGAACAUGCAACUCCAGAGAAAUCCACAAGCAAGCUUUGAUUGUGAAGAAAAUAAAACAUGAGGUUUUCACCCAUAAACAAAAAGAAUUUAUUUCUGGAAUUAAGCAGGCAGUUGAUGAUAUUCAACAAUACUGUAUAGAAGUAGAGGCUAGGAGGAGAGGAAGAAUCUGAAUAAUCCUGAAGGCAGAGACUCUCAGCUAUAAUCUAGGUCUAUUACUGCCCAGUAGUUUGUAUAGUUUACAAACUGUUUUGGCAAGUGCUUCCACCCAAGUUUACCACAAGAAAAUGGACCUAUUUGUUUUUAGAGAUAACCAAUUUCAUCAGCUCAGAAUGUAUGUAAUUAGUAGCCUUUAGUAUGCUAAGCCACUUUGGGAACUUGGGUUUGAAUUGGCCUUAGGACUAUUACCACGCUCAUAGGACAAACUGGCUUGAAACAAUGUUCCUUUAUUUACAGUGACUUCACUUUUGUCCAAACUAAUAAAGUCAAGUAGCUGCAAUCAUUUGUGCUGGUGACUGUUGAUAUAGUGCAAGACCAUGGAUUAAUGUUGAAUGGCCACAUUUUGAACAGCUUGGAGAACAGGUUUCUCGCACAGGUUGGUUAAUUAAAGACAAGUUAUAAAGGUAACUGAGCAUGAAUUACUUGCAGCUUAAGUUCCUGUAGUCUGAGUCACCCUUAGAAGGGAGAAUUCAAGGAGUCCUUGUGCACUGCAGGACUUACAGUCAGCCACAAACUGGAGUGCUACCUGACGUUAUUACAACAGUAAUAAACUGAACCCUCCAACUCUAAUAAAACAGUAUAGUGGACGGUGUGGAUGAAAGCACUAAAGUAGCAUCUGCAGUUUUAGUGAAUGCUACAGAAAACUGGUGCAUAUGUGUAUGUUGGCAUGUGUGUACUCAUGCAUGUCUCUACAUACCUGUGUGUGUAUGUGUUUGCAAAAUGUGGGCAUGCUUGAAUGGAAAAGUCUUUUGGAAGGGAAAGGUAAUGAGCACAAAUAAGACAGAAGGAAAUCAUUUUGAGAAAUGAUAACUUC